rnacentral:snRNA from 1 species
UAAAAGGGUCCGUUGGCUAAAUAUGCUACGCUCACCCAUUGAAUGGUGAGUGCUGUAUGGCUAUCAAGACAUAUGGCUGAUGUAAUUUGUGGGAACUUAUAGGGUUGGCUCCCUUUGGGGUGCCGACCCUCC